UACAGAGGGUGCGAGCGUUGUCCGGAAUCACUGGGCGUAAAGGGCGCGUAGGCGGCCUGGUUAGUAGGGGGUGAAAUCUUGCGGCUCAACUGCAAGGCUGCCUCCUAAACUGCCGGGCUGGAGCACGGUAGAGGCAGAUGGAAUUCCCGGUGUAGCGGUGGAAUGCGUAGAGAUCGGGAAGAACAUCGGUGGCGAAGGCGGUCUGCUGGGCCGUUGCUGACGCUGAGGCGCGACAGCGUGGGGAGCAAACAGG
rnacentral:rRNA from 1 species